UGUCCUAGCAAAAGAUAUUGCUACGGUUCCUUUAUCGGUUUCUAUGAUAGAUUCGAGAUCACUUGACUCUUCCUUUUUAGGAGGGACUGCUUCUUCUAAAAUCCAGUUUUCAAGUAACUUAACCUGUUCCGAUUCAAUAGACUUUGGGACUACCAAGUUUCCUUUUUCUAAGUCUGUGACAAAGAAAGUUGUGGUUCCUUUUGGAGAUAUCAGUUUUGUGGCUUCUUCCCUAAGAUUAGGUAUUACAGUGUUCAUUGCUUUGUAAUGAAUCCUA
rnacentral:misc_RNA from 1 species